ACACGUAGUCAACUUACCCUAUGGACGAGGAUAAUCUCGGGAAACUGAGCAUAAUACUCGAUAGAUCAUAAUGCCUGGAAUGGUUUAUGGUUGAAAUGAUUCGUCGCCAUAGGAUGGGACUGCGGCCUAUCAGCUUGUUGGUGAGGUAAUGGCCCACCAAGGCGAUUACAGGUACGGGCUCUGAGAGGAGAAGCCCGGAGAUGGGUACUGAGACAAGGACCCAGGCCCUAUGGGGCGCAGCAGGCGAGAAAACUUUGCAAUGUGCGAAAGCACGACAAGGUUAAUCCGAGUGAUUUCUGCUAAAGAAAUCUUUUGCAAGUCAUAAAACCACUAGUGAAUAAGGGGUGGGCAAGUUCUGGUGUCAGCCGCCGCGGUAAAACCAGCACCUCAAGUGGUCAGGAGGAUUAUUGGGCCUAAAGCAUCCGUAGCCGGCUCUGUAAGUUUUCGGUUAAAUCCAUGUGCUCAACGCAUGGGCUGCCGAAAAUACUGCAUAGCUAGGGAGUGGGAGAGGUAGACGGUACUCGGUAGGAAGGGGUAAAAUCCUUUGAUCUAUUGAUGACCACCUGUGGCGAAGGCGGUCUACCAGAACACGUUCGACGGUGAGGGAUGAAAGCUGGGGGAGCAAACCGGAUUAGAUACCCGGGUAGUCCCAGCUGUAAACGAUGCAGACUCGGUGAUGCGUUGGUUUAUUGCCAGUGCAGUGCCGCAGGGAAGCCGUUAAGUCUGCCGCCUGGGAAGUACGUACGCAAGUAUGAAACUUAAAGGAAUUGGCGGGGGAGCUCCACAAGGGGUGAAGCCUGCGGUUCAAUUGGAUUCAACG
rnacentral:rRNA from 2 species